CGGCGGACGGGUGAGUAACGCGUGGGUAACCUGCCUCAUACAGGGGGAUAACAGUUAGAAAUGGCUGCUAAUACCGCAUAAGACCACAGUACUGCAUGGUACAGUGGUAAAAACUCCGGUGGUAUGAGAUGGACCCGCGUCUGAUUAGGUAGUUGGUGAGGUAACGGCCCACCAAGCCGACGAUCAGUAGCCGACCUGAGAGGGUGACCGGCCACAUUGGGACUGAGACACGGUCCAG
rnacentral:rRNA from 1 species